rnacentral:lncRNA from 1 species
ACAAUUAAAAGAAAGAACUCUGUAAAAAUGUCAUAAUGAAUCAGAAGUUCCAAAGUGAAUCUUGGGUGAAAGGAGACUGAUCAUAUUUUACAGGCAAGUCAUUUUUUUUUUCAAAGUCUGAAUCUUCACUAAAUGGAUCCUUGGCAUUGAAGAAAUUUCAGCUGUGAAAAGGGGUGCUCUUGCUUUGAUCUCAAAGACACAGUUGUGUCUCAUGGGUUAAACUGCACCUGGUGUUAAAUGCCAAGGUGAUGUAUGAAAAGGGAGUAACAGAAAAUUAAGACCCAG